rnacentral:rRNA from 1 species
CGGGACGGGUAAGUAAUGUCUGGGAAACUGCCUGAUGGAGGGGGAUAACUACUGGAAACGGUAGCUAAUACCGCAUAACGUCGCAAGACCAAAGAGGGGGACCUUAGGGCCUCUUGCCAUCGGAUGUGCCCAGAUGGGAUUAGCUAGUAGGUGGGGUAAAGGCUCACCUAGGCGACGAUCCCUAGCUGGUCUGAGAGGAUGACCAGCCACACUGGAACUGAGACACGGUCCAG